AGUGUAACGGUGCCUCUGUGGGUUACAGCACCAUGGUCAAAACUGGAAAAAUAGUUUCUUAGAAACGAAUAAAGGCAAACUAUGGGAAAAUGGUCAUGGAAGGCUCUCUCACUAAGAAGAAGAAAACUCAGAAUGUCUUGUUAUUAGCAACAUAGAUCUCCAACUAAAGGGCUUACUCAUCCCUGCACUUGUGAUGUCUGCAUGGAGAUGUUUCCCAGGAGCACUCUCCACAAACUUCCAGCAUGCCAAUCUCCAUCUCAAAAUUUGCUUCUCUGGGAAUGCAACCUGUGGUGUUGCUCAAUCAAACUGUUCCUGUAGACACAUUACACCCACGUUAGGUGUGUGAUGGACUGAAUUGUGACCCCCACCCCAAAUUCAUGUUGAAACUUUAACACCAAGGAACUCCAAAUGUGACUGUGUUUAGAGAUAGGGUCUUCACAGAAGUAAUUAAGUUAAAAUGAGGUCACAUGGGUGGGCCCUAAUCCAAUAUGACAGGAGUCCUUAUAAGAAGAGGAGAUGAGGACACAGCCACCCACAGAGGGAAGACCACACAGGGAGAAGAUGAAGGUCUACAAGUCAAGGAGAGAGGCUUCAGGAGAAAUCAACCCUGCAGACACCUUAUCUUGGACUUCCAGCCUCCAGAACUGUGAGAGAAUAAAUUUCUGUUGUUUAAGCCCCCACUCUGUGAUACCUUGUCAUGGCAGCCCAAGCAGAUACAAUAGGCGGAUUUAGAGGUUCUUCGUUUUGAUCCUGAUUCUUUCACUUUUAUACUUAAGGAACAACUCAGAAAUCUGAACAGGUUAAAUUCUCUUUUAAGUAUAAUGAAGCAGGAUGGUAAUUCUCACUACAUAGUGUUUUCAUAUUCCCUACAAUAGGUCAGGAUAAUCAUGUUUUUAGAGAGGUGAUAAAGAAUAUGCAUUACCUCUCUUCAUCACAUCUCUCUGUUUACAGCAUUUACUACAAACCUGAGGCAGAUGUAAAUACACGGUGUGGAUAAGUACCUUGGAACUGCAGUGAACUUGCAUUUAGUGGGAAAGAAUGGCAAAAUUUCCUUCCUUCCUUUCUUUCUUCCUUCCUUCCUUCCUUUCCUUCCUUCCUUUCCUUUCCUUUCCUUUCCUUUCCCUUCCUUCCUUCCUUCCUUCCUUCCUUCCUUCCUUCCUUCCUUUCUUUUCUUUCUUUCUCUUUUUUGAGACAAAGUCUUGCUCUAUCACCCAUGCUGGAGUGCAGUAGCGUGAUCUGAGCUCACUGCAACCUUCACCUCCUGGGUUCAAGCAAUUCUCCUGCCUCAGCCUCCGGAGUAGCUGGGAUUACAGGUGCACAUCACCAUGCCCGGCUAAUUUUUGUAUUUUUAGUAGAGACAUGGUUUCGCCAUCUUGCCCAG
rnacentral:lncRNA from 1 species